CCAAGACAUGGAGACAGCCAAGUGCCCAUCGACGGUUGGAUGGAUGGAUAGAGAAAAUAUCAUGUAUACGUAUACACACACAUAUAAUGGAAUACUAUAUUCAGCCACAACAGAGAAGGAAAUCUUGCCAUUUGGGAACACAUGAAUGCACCCAGAAGGCACUAUCCUAUGUGCAAUAAGUCAGUCCGAGAAAGACAAAUACUGAACAAUAUCACUUAUACAUGAAAUCAAAAAAAAGAGCAAAAAAAGAGGUCAGAUUUCUAGUUACAAGAGGUGUGGAGCUGGGGUCAAAGGUAUAAACUUCCAGUUUUAAGAUAAAUAAGUCUUGGGGGUUGUCCUGCACAACGCGAUGACUAGAGUUCCCCCCCCCCCCCCCAGCUGCCUAGCUCCGGGCUCCGGAUGCCAGGGGAAGAACUGCCUUACGCGGGUUAGGCACCCUCGCUCAGGGGGUGUCACGGGCAGUUGCACACAGUCCCAGGGGACACAGAUUCUUUCCCAAGAAUAAGCCUCAAAAAUCAGCCCUGAUUAAUAGCCUACCUGAUGCGGAGUAUUAACGGCAGAAGGAGGAUGGAGUUUGGGAUGAGACAACCCAAGGAUUUCCUGGAGAAGCCGAGCAGUGACAUAAUAUACUUCAACUCUCACCAGAAACCUUUAGGAGCAUUAUUUUCAGACUCCUCUCUCUUUUGGGUCUGCAAGGAUCUUUACUGGAUGGUUCUUUCUAGAGUGGGAGUACACAUGCCCACGUGGCUGUGGUCAGGCAUCGUUCCCAGGCCUUCUACCUCAGCGGAAUGCACUCUGGGCAUGCCCCUGACUACCUGUGGUCAGCAGGGCAGUGGGAGGCUCCAGCACGGUCACUCCUCCAGGGGUGAAGACUUGAGCAGCUUCUUCAUCAGGUCAGUGUGGGCCAGCAGCACGCAGCCCCCGUGGAAGCACGUCAGGCCCGGUGCAUCUAGGAAGCCUCCUAGCUCCUACUGGCCACAAAUAGCCUUCUUCUAUCCUUUACCUACUGCCAAGGCACACUUCAAGCUUCUCCUGAUCCUCUCUGGGCUGGGUAUACAUUUAUGUGAUCCCGGAAGGGUGUCACUGAUACUCUGGACAUCACACUACGCUCUGCUGCAAGUACUUGUUUGCGUAAGUACUUGUCUCUCCCUCACUAAACUAUCUCCUUGA
rnacentral:lncRNA from 12 species